UGGCUCAGAACGAACGCUGGCGGCGUGCCUAACACAUGCAAGUCGAACGAGAAAGUCCGCAAGGAUGAGUACAGUGGCGACCGGGUGAGUAACACGUGACUAACCUACCUCUUAGUGGGGAAUAACUCCGGGAAACCGGAGCUAAUACCGCAUAACAUCGCAAGAUCAAAGCCGAAAGGCGCUGGGAGAGGGGGUCGCGGCUGAUUAGCUAGUUGGCAGGGUAACGGCCUACCAAGGCGAAGAUCGGUAUCCGGCCUGAGAGGGCGCACGGACACACUGGAACUGAAACACGGUCCAGAGACCUACGGGAGGCAGC
rnacentral:rRNA from 1 species